rnacentral:misc_RNA from 1 species
GAAAUGCGAUAACUAGUGUGAAUUGCAGAAUUCCGUGAAUCAUCGGGUCUUUGAACGCACAUUGCGCCCCCUGGUAUUCCGGGGGGCAUGCCUGUCCGAGCGUCAUUGCUGCCCAUCAAGCACGGCUUGUGUGUUGGGUCGUCGUCCCCUCUCCGGGGGGGCCGGGCCCCAAAGGCAGCGGCGGCACCGCGUCCGAUCCUCGAGCGUAUGGGGCUUUGUCACCCGCUCUGUAGGCCCGGCCGGCGCUUGCCGAACGCAAAUCAAUCUUUUUCCAGGUUGACCUCGGAUCAGGUAGGGAUACCCGCUGAACUUAAGC